UAAAUUAACUCUUAUCAUAUCACAAGCAGAGAUAAUAGUGGGUCCAAAUCCCAUAGCAUAUGACUUGAGCAUAUUACAUUAUUCUUUGUGAAGGAGACUAAAACAAAAGGCACAUAAAUGCGUGAAACUAAAGUAGUUAUGGAACAUAUUAGCAUAACUAAAUACAUGGCAAUACAGCAAAGAAAAAACUGUCCUCCAAUAGCUAGCAGAGGUACCUCGACCACCACUCUCUUCAUGCAGCCAUCCAUCACCUAAGAAUCUUCCCUUCACCCCACUAGCACCUCAAAGACAGGCAAACCGCUCCGUCACAAACCAACAACUAUCCUAGAAUCUUUUUGACUGAGAAUUUUUUUAUCUUUUCACCAAAAGUUAUUUUCAAAACAUUGUUUGGUUAUGCAUUGGAAUGAUUUUUUGGUUAACUUUUUGAAGAUGGGAUUUUCAAGUUUGACAUCAGUGAAUAUUUCUUUCAACUCAUUGAACUUCAACUUUUUGCAAGUGCGAUACAUGUCCAAUACAACUCCAACUUCAAAACUUCUUUUUAAAGUUUCAAUCAAAUCUAUGUCCAAUAGCCUACUUAACCAUUCAGGACCUACAUCCAAUAUCUCAUGCUAAAAUACUGUAUUUCGGGAUCUUUCAAGAUUAAGAGUAACAAUAGCUAAGAAGUCCCAGAAACUCUAAAGAGAAAAGACAAUUCAGUUACGUUGAAGUUCUAUAAAUUCUUUAAACUUAUUCCUUCUUUUUAUUUCUGAGAAGUAGAAUUUUGAAACUAGUCAUGGUGGAUAACUUUAUGGCCUUACAUAAUACUGAAACGAAAAAACUGACUCGCACCUGUUCUGAAGGCAUGAUACACACGGCUCACUAUACUAAAAAUAGGUUUCUAUAAAUGACUGAAACCCCCAGGUAGCCCCACAGAACAUAAUCAACCUAUAGAUCACAAAUGCAUUCUAGAUGCAAUCUAUAAGUGACUACACCCUCCUUAAACACUACACAACGACUCAUCAUUUCCAACUUUCUCCACUUUUCAAACCCAUGCACAUUCCACACUAUUUUUCAUUUUUUCUUUUCUUAUUUCGACUCUAGAUGCUUCACAUGCAGCCAAUUUCAUCUUUUGGAGGAUUCAAGACUCAUUUAUUCAUUUUCGUUCUUACUUUUUCUUUCUUUAAGACUUUCCACCCAUCCCUCAAUUUCUCUCUUCUUUAUAUUUUCGUUUUUUUACAACAUGCCCUCACGUGGUAAGCAUCCCUUCAAUGAAUUGUCCAUAACACCCACAACUUAGGCUUUUAGCCUCAACUUUCACAACCUCAAGUUCAAGAAGGGAAGGGUUCGAAAGAGGGUUACCUUUUCAAAAAGGAUAAGGCUUGUGGUUGCCAAUAAAAAGGAUUAGGCUCAAAGGGGACAACUAAGGAUAUAUUUAGUACAAAGGUGGGAUUUUUAGGCCAAGUGGACUUCAAGAUAUUAAAGAAAGCCUAAGAUCAUUUCUCCAACCAAACUCAUUCAAGACCAACAUUUCAAGACCAACCGGGUAAGUUCUAGGUGGCAAAAGCAAACACAAGGCAUUAUGCAACAACUCACCACACAUGGCCUCCAAAUCAAUCAAUAUGGUUCAAAAUCUUACUUCCUUUAGAAAAUACAAGUAGCAUUUAACAGUUUAAUCGCUAAUGAAUCAAAAGUCACAAAAAGAGUUGUAAGAGUUGUCACAAAAUCACUCAUAACAUGCUCAACCUUUUAAAAACGGAGAGGUAUGCUCAACACUAUUCACAUGCAUGACUAUGCUCUUAUUACCAACCAAGGCAAAAGUUUCCCAAAAAGAUGACGAUUUUGCCCUUAAGAAUGUUGUCAACCAAUCCACCAUCAAGCAACCUCAUGCAUCAAUUCGGAAACAACUACUCAGACUUUGCCACAAUCAACGCCAAUCAAACUCAAUAGCAUUCAAACUCAAAUAGGAACAUUCAUCAAAAACAGAAUGUUAUAUGAUUAAGACAUAAACCCACGUAAAAAGACUGCUCUGCUAAGCCUUCAACAGAAAAUAAAACAGGAAAAGUGAAUGAAAACAAACACAAACAAAACCUUGUAUUCACAUAAUUAUUCAAACCAAAAAGUUCACUAACAUGAUUGAUAUAAAUUUAAAACCAGGACCUAUCCAUCCCUCAAUCCUAACAAAAUCAAAAUCACGUCUGGUUCCAAUUCCUCACCAACUACACACGUGAUUCUUGAGUGAAUUGACUUCAACUUCAUUUAAGACACAUGUUGAAGUAUUUCUUAAAUUUAGUAACUGCAAUAUACUCCAAUAAACACUUUAUUCUUCCUCAAAAUUGUCUCUAAUUAAUAUAUGGAUAAGACAAUAAUAUUUAGUAAGAAGAAAUCAUAAGACUAUAGUAUACCCAACCAAAGAUCUCAAGCCAACAUCUCCACACACCCAAUAUGACACUAUCAACGGGAAAGAAUCGAUCCAAGUGACUUUACAGUUCAAUAGGGAAGAACAUGCAAAAUAAAUAAAAAAA